rnacentral:rRNA from 1 species
CAGCCGCCGCGGGAAUACGAAGGGGGCUAGCGUUGCUCGGAAUGACUGGGCGUAAAGGGCGCGUAGGCGGUUUGUACAGUUGGAUGUGAAAUUCCUGGGCUUAACCUGGGGGCUGCAUUCAAUACGUGCAGGCUUGAGUGGGGAAGAGGGUCGUGGAAUUCCCAGUGUAGAGGUGAAAUUCGUAGAUAUUGGGAAGAACACCGGUGGCGAAGGCGGCGACCUGGUCCUUGACUGACGCUGAGGCGCGAAAGCGUGGGGAGCAAACAGGAUUAGAUACCCCCGUAGUCCCUGUCUCUUAUAA